rnacentral:rRNA from 1 species
CGUAACAAGGUUUCCGUAGGUGAACCUGCGGAAGGAUCAUUGUCGAGACCGAAAUAUACACCGAGCGAUUCGAAGAACCCGUGAAAUGAGCCAACGGCCGUCCUGGCCGUCGCCCCCGUCUCCUCCUCGCGGGGUGGGUGGGUGCGUGGCUGAGGACGGAUGAAACACAAACCGGCGCAGCAUCGCGCCAAGGGAAAGAUUGAAAGGCACGAGCCCCCGUCGGGCUCGGUGGCGUGGGGUGCUAUUGCACGCCAUGCGGAUGGACACGACUCUCGGCAAUGGAUAUCUCGGCUCUCGCAUCGAUGAAGAGCGCAGCGAAAUGCGAUACGUGGUGCGAAUUGCAGAAUCCCGCGAACCAUCGAGUCUUUGAACGCAAGUUGCGCCCGAGGCCAGCCGGCCAAGGGCACGUCCGCCUGGGCGUCAAGCGUUGCGUCGCUCCGUGCCACCUUCGUCCCGCCAUUGGGCGUGUCGGUGGAGAGGCCCGGAUGUGCAGAGUGGCUCGUCGUGCCUGUCGGCGCGGCGGGCUGAAGAGCGGGUUUCGUCUCGCCGGUCGCGAACAACAAGGGGUGGGUGAAAGCUGUGAGCGCAGCCUGCGUUGUCUCGUGCCGGCCCGAGAGACGGGUUGUGCCUUCGAUGUGAUCCCGGCCCAUGCGCCGAUCGGCAUGCGGCGGCUUGGAAUGCGACCCCAGGAUGGGCGAGGCCACCCGCCGAGUU